rnacentral:lncRNA from 1 species
AUGGUUCUGCUUCACUCAAUUUUCUACAGAGACCCAGCAUGUCGUGUAAACAGCAGGGCUUCCAAAGGUAUUACAGAAAGAGGCAGAUCUCAUUCAGAGAGGCUGGUGACACACACUCCAUUCACUCCAUUCACUCCAUUCCAUUCACUCCAUUCCAUUCACUCCAUUCACUCCAUUCCAUUCACUCCAUUCACUCCAUUCCAUUCACUCCAUUCACUCCAUUCCAUUCACUCCAUUCCAUUCACUCCAUUCCAUUCACUCCACUCACUCCAUUCCAUUCACUCCAUUCCAUUCACUCCAUUCCAUUCACUCCAUUCACUCCAUUCCAUUCACUCCAUUCCAUUCACUCCAUUCACUCCAUUCCAUUCACUCCAUUCCAUUCACUCCAUUCCAUUCACUCCACUCACUCCAUUCCAUUCACUCCAUUCCAUUCACUCCAUUCCAUUCACUCCAUUCACUCCAUUCCAUUCACUCCAUUCCAUUCACUCCAUUCACUCCAUUCCAUUCAUUCCAUUCACUCCAUUCCAUUCACUCCAUUCCAUUCACUCCAUUCACUCCAUUCCAUUCACUCCAUUCCAUUCACUCCAUUCACUCCAUUCCAUUCACUCCAUUCCAUUCACUCCAUUCACUCCAUUCCAUUCACUCCAUUCCAUUCACUCCAUUCACUCCAUUCCAUUCACUCCAUUCCAUUCACUCCAUUCCAUUCACUCCAUUCACUCCAUUCCAUUCACUCCAUUCCAUUCACUCCAUUCCAUUCACUCCAUUCCAUUCACUCCAUUCACUCCAUUCCAUUCACUCCAUUCACUCCAUUCCAUUCACUCCAUUCCAUUCACUCCAUUCCAUUCAAUCCUUUCACUCCAUUCCAUUCACUCCAUUCCAUUCACUCCAUUCACUCCAUUCCAUUCACUCCAUUCCAUUCAAUCCUUUCAAUCCAUUCCAUUCACUCCAUUCACUCCAUUCCAUUCACUCCAUUCCAUUCACUCCAUUCACUCCAUUCCAUUCACUCCAUUCACUCCAUUCCAUUCACUCCAUUCCAUUCCAGCCUUUACUAUGAGCCGUUCUCCCCUCAGCAGCCUUCAUGUGCUCUGGUGUUCACUCUACUCUCAAGCAGUACGAUAG